GUUCGAGCGUCAUUACAACCCUCAAGCUCUGCUUGGUAUUGGAUGCAAUCACCAUGAUUCGUCUCAAAAUUAGUGGCGGUGCCAUUCGGCUUCCAGCGUAGUAAUUCUCUCGCUGUGGAGAUCCGGGUGUGUGCUUGCCAACAACCCCUAAAUUUUAUAAGGUUGACCUCGGAUCAGGUAGGGAUACCCGCUGAACUUAA
rnacentral:misc_RNA from 1 species